AUGUGGAAUCCGCUAUGGGUCCUCCGGCCAUGGUUGCUACUGCUCCUUCUGCAGCUCGCCAUCGGCAGCAUGGAGGCCGUGGCGCCCUCGCCGCCAGUGCCUAGCUUCGUGACCAACCCCUUGCUCAGGACAGGGUACCACUUCCAGCCGCCCAAAAACUGGAUUAACGGGCCACUAUACUACAAGGGAUGGUACCACUUGUUUUACCAGUACAACCCCAAAGGUGCCGAUUGGGUCAAUACACUUUGGGCUCACUCGGUUUCACGCGACCUCAUCAACUGGAACGUUCUUGGUUUAGCCCUCGAGCCAAGCAUCCGAUCUGACCAGUAUGGCGUUUGGUCUGGCUCCGCAACAAUCCUCCUUGAUGGCACACCAGUGUUGGUGUACACAGGGAUCAACCGGCCGGACACUCCCUACCAGGUGCAGAACGUUGCCAUCCCCAAGAACAAGUCCGACCCGCUACUUAGGGAGUGGGUCAAACCAGACUACAAUCCGAUUAUAGUGCCGGAUUCGGGCAUGAACGUGACACAAUUUCGUGACCCGAGCACGGCUUGGCACAUAGAUGGCCAAUGGCGCAUACUCGUAGGUGGAGAGAAGGGCUCCCAUGGUCAGGCAUAUGUGUAUCGGAGCACCGACUUCAAGCAUUGGGUUCGAGCCAAGCACCCACUUCACUCGGCAACCAGCGGUAUGUGGGAGUGCCUCGACUUCUUUCCGGUGCUCAUACAAGGGCAGAAAGGUCUCGACACAUCCGAGCAUAGUGGCAGAGUCAAGUAUGUACUCAAGAGUAGCCUCGAGAAGGCUCGGUAUGACUACUACACCAUCGGAACCUAUAAUAGUAGGACAGAGCGUUAUGUGCCUGACGAUCUAAAUGGUGACUACCACCGCCUCCGCUACGACUAUGGGAAAUUCUAUGCGUCCAAGACAUUCUUCGACCCCGCAAGGCAGAGACGGGUCCUUGUAGGAUGGGCCAAUGAGUCAGACACCGUUCCAGACGACAUCGCCAAGGGUUGGUCCGGCAUUCAUGCAAUCCCAAGGAAGAUAUGGCUUGACCCCGGUGGCAAGCAGCUCGUGCAGUGGCCCAUUGAGGAGGUCGAGCAGCUGAGGCGUAAGUCUGUUAGUGUAACAAACAAGGUCGUGAAGCCUAGGAAUCAUUUUGAGGUUAAAGGCCUGGAGACUUACCAGGCUGAUGUGGAGGUGAGUUUCGAGAUACCAAGCCUGGAAAGGGCCGAGCCGUUCGAUCAUGCAUUCUCGAACGAUGCUCCGAAGCUGUGUAGAAUGAAGGGUGCGGACAAUAAGGGCGGAGUAGGUCCCUUUGGUUUGUGGGUGCUAGCAUCUGCCAACUUGGAGGAGAAGACUGCGGUUUUCUUCAGGAUUUUCAAGGAUGGGCAUGGCAAGCCAGUGGUCCUGAUGUGCACUGACCCUAGCAAGUCAUCUCUUGGUCGUGAUCUUGACAAGCCAACUUAUGCCGGGUUUGUCAACUCCAACGUUUCAUCAUCCGGCAAGAUCUCUUUGAGAAGCUUGAUUGAUCAUUCAGUCGUUGAGAGCUUUGGUGCCGGAGGCAAGACCUGCAUCAUAUCAAGGGUGUACCCAUCCAUCGCCAUAGGGCAAAACGCUCAUCUUUACGUCUUCAACAAUGGAGAUGUGGAUGUCAAGGUGUCGCGCCUCAAGGCCUGGGAGAUGGAGAGUUCCAAGAUGAAUAAUAGUGCUUAA
rnacentral:rRNA from 1 species